rnacentral:tRNA from 2 species
GCGCAGGCUAGAGAGCUUGGUAACGCUUUGUAUCAUUCCGGAUGAUAUUGAUCUUCGCUGGGUUCGAUUCGUGCGCCAGCACUC